AUAUCAAUAAGCGGAGGAAAAGAAAAUAACAAUGAUUCCCCUAGUAACUGCGAGUGAAGAGGGACAAGCUCAAAUUUUAAAUCUGUUAGGUAUCACCUGGCCGAGUUGUAAUUUGAAGAAGCGUUUUCUGCGUCCUUGGUCAGCCCAAGUCCUAUUGAAUGAGGCAUCAUGGAGGGUGAUAAUCCCGUCCGGUUGAUCAAUGCGUUUUACGAUACGCUCUCAAAGAGUCAAGUUGUUUGGGAUUGCAGCUUAAAAUGGGAGGUAAAUUUCUCCUAAGGCUAAAUAUUGGCGAGAGACCGAUAGCGAACAAGUACCGUGAGGGAAAGAUGAAAAGAACUUUGAAAAGAGAGUAAAAUAGUGC
rnacentral:rRNA from 1 species